rnacentral:sRNA from 2 species
CUUCGAUUAAGGUUCGACUCGAGCGGAAGCGAGAGAACGUUGCCAACGGCAACGGCCCGAAGGGGAAGGAGCGGAGCGACGAAUAAUCCUUCUCCCACCACCA